GCCCGGAUGGCGGAAUGGUAGACGCAGCGGCCUUAAAAGCCGCAGUCCUGAAAGGGGCGUGCGGGUUCGAGUCCCGCUCCGGGUA
rnacentral:tRNA from 1 species